GACGAACGCUGGCGGCGUGCUUAACACAUGCAAGUCGAACGGAAAGGCCCUGCUUGCAGGGUGCUCGAGUGGCGAACGGGUGAGUAACACGUGGGUGAUCUGCCCCUUACUUUGGGAUAAGCCUGGGAAACUGGGUCUAAUACUGGAUAGGACCAUGCUGUAGGUGGUGUGGUGGAAAGAUUAGUUUCGGUAAGGGAUGAGCUCGCGGCCUAUCAGCUUGUUGGUGGGGUAAUGGCCUACCAAGGCGUCGACGGGUAGCCGGCCUGAGAGGGUGGACGGCCACAUUGGGACUGAGAUACGGCCCAGCCUCCUACGCGAGGCAGCAGUGGGGAAUAUUGCACAAUGGGCGCAAGCCUGAUGCAGCGACGCCGCGUGGGGGGUGACGGCCUUCGGGUUGUAAACUCCUUUCAGCCAUGACGAAGCCCUUGUGGUGACGGUAGUGGUAGAAGAAGCACCGGCUAACUACGUG
rnacentral:rRNA from 1 species